UGAACGCUGACAGAAUGCUUAACACAUGCAAGUCAACUUGAACUUCGGUUUGGGUGGCGGACGGGUGAGUAACGCGUAAAGAACUUGCCUCACAGUUAGGGACAACAUUUGGAAACGAAUGCUAAUACCUGAUAUUAUGAUUUUAGGGCAUCCUAGAAUUAUGAAAGCUAUAUGCGCUGUGAGAGAGCUUUGCGUCCCAUUAGCUAGUUGGAGAGGUAACGGCUCACCAAGGCGAUGAUGGGUAGCCGGCCUGAGAGGGUGAACGGCCACAAGGGGACUGAGACACGGCCCUUACUCCUACGGGAGGCAGCAGUGGGGAAUAUUGGACAAUGGACCAAGAGUCUGAUCCAGCAAUUCUGUGUGCACGAUGAAGUUUUUCGGAAUGUAAAGUGCUUUCAGUUGGGAAGAAAAAAAUGACGGUACCAACAGAAGAAGUGACGGCUAAAUACGUG
rnacentral:rRNA from 1 species